GUGGGGAAUUUUGGACAAUGGGCGCAAGCCUGAUCCAGCAAUGCCGCGUGCAGGAAGAAGGCCUUCGGGUUGUAAACUGCUUUUGUACGGAACGAAAAGGCUCUGGUUAAUACCUGGGGCUCAUGACGGUACCGUAAGAAUAAGCACCGGCUAACUACGUGCCAGCAGCCGCGGUAAUACGUAGGGUGCAAGCGUUAAUCGGAAUUACUGGGCGUAAAGCGUGCGCAGGCGGUGUUGUAAGACAGACGUGAAAUCCCCGGGCUCAACCUGGGAAUGGCGUUUGUGACUGUAAAGCUGGAGUGCGGCAGAGGGGGAUGGAAUUCCGCGUGUAGCAGUGAAAUGCGUAGAUAUGCGGAGGAACACCGAUGGCGAAGGCAAUCCCCUGGGCCUGCACUGACGCUCAUGCACGAAAGCGUGGGGAGCAAACAGGAUUAGAAACCCGUGUAGUCC
rnacentral:rRNA from 1 species